UCCCUGGAGGACUAGUGGUUAUGCCUUGGCACACUCACCGCCACAGUCAAGUUUCGAUUCCCAGCCAGGGAA